UGGGGAAUAUUGCACAAUGGGCGAAAGCCUGAUGCAGCAACGCCGCGUGAGCGAUGAAGGCCUUCGGGUUGUAAAGCUCUGUCUUCGCUGACGAAAUCUGACGGUAAGCGAGGAGGAAGCCACGGCUAACUACGUG
rnacentral:rRNA from 1 species